UGGACCGACUAUUAUGCGAAUC
rnacentral:siRNA from 1 species